rnacentral:rRNA from 1 species
CUACGGGCUGCACCAGGCAGGAAACCUUUACAAUGCACGAAAGUGCGAUAAGGGGAGCCUAAGUGCUUGCCUUCGGGUGAGCUUUUGUCAAGUUUAAAAAUCUCGACGAAUAAGUGGUGGGUAAGACCGGUGCCAGCAGCCGCGGUAACCCCGGCGCCACGAGUGGCAAUCACGAUUAUUGGGCCUAAAGCGUCCGUAGCCGAUCUACUCAGUCCUUUGUUAAAUCGUUAGGCUCAACCUAACGGCUGCAAGGGAUACUGGUAGGUUUGGGAUCGGGAGGAGUCAGAAGUACUCUUAGGGUAGCGGUAAAAUGUUAUAAUCCUUAGUGGACUACCUGUGGCGAAGGCGUCUGACUAGAACGAAUCCGACGGUGAGGGACGAAAGCCAGGGGAGCAAAAGGGAUUAGAUACCCUGGUAGUC